rnacentral:lncRNA from 1 species
ACGAACAAGGGAUUCCACCUGCUGUCGACUUGUUCUUCACUCUGUUCAUAGCCGGUAAAUCUCGAGAACGAGGCUUCAAGAUGCUGAGCAAACAAUCCCCCAAACCUAAUGUCAGGUUCGAGAAGCGACCACUAAUGGACACUCCUUCGAGCAACCAAGGAUGGCAUAAGGAGUGGUUUUUUGUCAAAGGACCCGAAGUCUCCUCCAUACCUAACUGGACCACUUCCGAUCGUAUCUCUGCAAACUUCGGAAAUAUUUCAACGGAACGAGUGAGAGAAAUGGCGAGCCUUCUAGAGAAGAUUCACAUUAAGGAAUGGAGCUUCGGACUUCUGAGUAAACAAGCAUGGUUGUACGACCAUAACUGUAAGUCUCGAACCC